rnacentral:pre_miRNA from 1 species
AGUAACCUUAUUUUUUGUUUUUUCGUGUCCAACGUUUGACCAUUCGUCUUAUUUGAAUUUUUUUGCGAUUAAUAUUUUUAUUCUUACUAGAUGAUAAAACAUGAUUAAAUAAGACGAAUGGUCAAACAUUGGACUCGGAAAAAC